UACGAAGGGGGCUAGCGUUGUUCGGAUUACUGGGCGUAAAGCGCACGUAGGCGGAUCGUUAAGUCGGGGGUGAAAUCCUGGAGCUCAACUCCAGAACUGCCUCGAUACUGGCGAUCUUGAGUCCGGAAGAGGUGAGUGGAACUCCUAGUGUAGAGGUGGAAUCGUAGAUAUAGGAAGAACACCAGUGGCGAAGGCGGCUCACUGGUC
rnacentral:rRNA from 1 species